rnacentral:rRNA from 1 species
GUAUAAGAGACAGCAGCCGCCGCGGUAAUACGGAGGGUGCAAGCGUUAAUCGGAAUUACUGGGCGUAAAGCGCACGCAGGCGGUCUGACAAGUCAGAUGUGAAAUCCCCGGGCUUAACCUGGGAACUGCAUUUGAAACUGUCAGGCUGGAGUCUUGUAGAGGGGGGUGGAAUUCCAGGUGUAGCGGUGAAAUGCGUAGAGAUCUGGAGGAAUACCGGUGGCGAAGGCGGCCCCCUGGACAAAGACUGACGCUCAGGUGCGAAAGCGUGGGGAGCAAACAGGAUUAGAUACCCCAGUAGUCCCUGUCUCUUAUAC